rfam:Agrilus planipennis Contig60701, whole genome shotgun sequence.
AUUUUCUAAACCUACUAUUGCUUCUAAUCAUGUGCUUCCCAAUACAUCCAACGGCUGAAGACGACCUUCAUUGGUCCUAGAACGGCCUGAGGUGGAGGGGUUUUAGUCGGUAGGUCCGAGGACCUCCUCGGGAAUCCGACACUACCCAGUCGUAUGGACGGCUGGGUGUCUUUUGAAGAGUUCCCUUCUUUCACGAAA